rnacentral:lncRNA from 1 species
UGUGGAAGAAAAAAAAAUGAUGUGGAAGAAAAAAAAAGAUGAUGUGGAGUGUUAAAAGAUGAAAUGGAAGGUGUUGAAUCUCGAAACUAUUGUACGUAGUUUACAAGGAUGCAUACGUGUUCGGUUCAAAUUGAAAAGUUAAAAAAGAAAUCAUAGAUAUUUCGCUACAUAAGCUAUAACAAUAAUAAAACAGAGUUUUUUUUAGUUUGGUAUUAAAUCAUUAGUACCAGAUGUUAUAUUCAUUUAUGUAUUGAUAAUUGAAUAGUUAACGAUACGAUAACUAAUUUAUAACUUAUAAUCUAAAGUAGCCAAUAAAAAGCUAAUCGAAUAAAUUA